rnacentral:rRNA from 1 species
CAGGGAAUCUUCCGCAAUGGACGAAAGUCUGACGGAGCAACGCCGCGUGAGUGAAGAAGGAUUUCGGUUCGUAAAACUCUGUUGUUAGGGAAGAAAAAAUGUAUAGUAACUAUAUACAAAAGAGACGGUACCUAACCAGAAAGCCACGGCUAACUACGUGCCAGCAGCCGCGGUAAUACGUAGGUGGCAAGCGUUGUCCGGAAUUAUUGGGCGUAAAGCGCGCGCAGGUGGUUUAGAAAGUCUGAUGUGAAAGCCCACGGCUCAACCGUGGAGGGUCAUUGGAAACUAAUAAACUUGAGUGCAGGAGAGAAAAGUGGAAUUCCUAGUGUAGCGGUGAAAUGCGUAGAGAUUAGGAGGAACACCGGUGGCGAAAGCGGCUUUUUGGCCUGCAACUGACACUGAGGCGCGAAAGCGUGGGGAGCAAACAGG